UCCCCUCAAGUUCUGCGCUCUGGAGUUGGUCACUAGAGAGGCAGCCCGCUUGCUGCUCGGAUAGCCGCUUGUUAUCCGCAGGCGUACUCGGGGAUAGUCCAGCUAGGCAUCCCUCGGAGGUUUUCAUGUGAGCCUUGCUUGUGAACCUUGUGUUCACUUGGAGAUUGGGUUACCUAUUGAGUCAUACUCAUUAUUAUUGUUCAUGAUAGCUUGCUUCCAUAGUUGUUGUUGUUCAUAGUAGCUUACUAGUGUUCAUAGUAGCUUACUUAUUGCUCAUGCAUUCAUGAUAUACUAUUCCUUCACCUAUGAGAUUUGAGUGGAGUAGCCCUGUACCUAGUAGGUCGAGAUGUGAGUCGGGCAAAGUGCGGGGUAGCCUUUGCCUAGGACCUUGAGAUGUGAGUCGGGCAAAGUGCGGGGUAGCCUUUGCCUAGGACCUUGAGAUGUGAGUCGGGCGAGGGGCAGGGUAGCUCUUUGCCUGGGACUCACGAGAUUGGGUCAGACCUUUGAGAUAUGAGUCGAGUGAGACAAGAGUGAGGUAGCUCUUCACCUACUAGAUUUGAGAUCUUAGGCAAGUUAGCCUAGCGGAUUGGGUAAUAACAUAAAUAGUAUAAGAGUAUUGCAUUCAUACCUUGAUUAGACAUAGUGCAUUGCAUAACUAUGUUGUUGUUGUAUUUAUUUCACUGUUGAGGCAUACUAGCAUGAUGGUAGGUUAUUGCUAGAUGAUGUUCCAUGCAUACUUUGCAUUUGAUGGCAUAGUAGAUAUAGUAGUAGUAUUUCCAUAUAUCUUUCUAUCUAUCUAUCUGUGCCAGCUUGGACCUAGUGGGAAGAUCGGCGGAGUCGGCGGCCGAACCCACUGGGAACUAUAUUUAUAUAGUUCUCACCCCGUGUGGUUUUGGGGUACAGGUAC
rnacentral:lncRNA from 1 species